AACGUCGGGAUUUAGGGUGUU
rnacentral:miRNA from 1 species